rnacentral:rRNA from 1 species
AGUGAACGCUGGCGGUAGGCCUAACACAUGCAAGUCGAACGGCAGCACAGUAAGAGCUUGCUCUUACGGGUGGCGAGUGGCGGACGGGUGAGGAAUACAUCGGAAUCUACUUUUUCGUGGGGGAUAACGUAGGGAAACUUACGCUAAUACCGCAUACGACCUACGGGUGAAAGCAGGGGAUCUUCGGACCUUGCGCGAUUGAAUGAGCCGAUGUCGGAUUAGCUAGUUGGCGGGGUAAAGGCCCACCAAGGCGACGGUCCGUAGCUGGUCUGAGAGGAUGAUCAGCCACACUGGAACUGAGACACGGUCCAGACUCCUACGGGGGGCAGCAGUGGGGAAUAUUGGACAAUGGGCGCAAGCCUGAUCCAGCCAUACCGCGUGGGUGAAGAAGGCCUUCGGGUUGUAAAGCCCUUUUGUUGGGGAAGAAAAGCAGCAGGUUAAUACCCCGCUGUUCUGACGGUACCCAAAGAAUAAGCACCGGCUAACUUCGUG